AUUGAACGCUAGCGGGAUGCUUUACACAUGCAAGUCGAACGGAGUGGCGGACGUGUGAAUAAUAUAGCGGAACGUGCCCAGUAGCGGGGGAUAACUACUCGAAGGAGUGGAUAAUACCGCAUCCUAUUAGAUCGGCCGAUAUCGGAUUAGCUAGUUGGUGGUGUAAAGGCUCACCAAGGAAACGAUCCGUAGCGGGUUUGAGAGGACGACCAGCAAAACUGGGAUUGAGAAACGGCCAAGACUCCUACGGGAGGCAGCAGUGGGGAAUUUGGGACAAUGGGGGAAACCCUGACCCAGCCAGCCCGCGUGUAGGAGGAAGGCCUUCGGGUGGUAAAGUACUUUUGGCAGAGAAGCGGUACCUGCAGAAUAAGCACCGGCUAACUACGUGCCAGCAGCCGCGGUAAUAC
rnacentral:rRNA from 1 species